UACGUAGGGUGCGAGCGUUAAUCGGAAUUACUGGGCGUAAAGCGUGCGCAGGCGGUUUUGUAAGCCAGAUGUGAAAUCCCCGGGCUUAACCUGGGAAUGGCAUUUGGGACUGCAAAGCUGGAGUGCGGCAGAGGGGACUGGAAUUCCUGGUGUAGUAGUGAAAUGCGUAGAGAUCAGGAGGAAUACCGAUGGCGAAGGCAGGUCCCUGGGUUGACACUGACGCUCAUGCACGAAAGCCAGGGGAGCGAACGGG
rnacentral:rRNA from 1 species